AGCAGUGGUGGGUUCCAUGUGAUGGUGGAGUAGGAGGCAGGUCUCCGCGGUUUCUUCAUGUGGCUGCAGAUGGCAGGAUUUCCCAAAGGUUUCUGGCUGAAACAUAUUCCGUGGUGUAUCUGUACAGCAGUUUCCUCAUCCCUGCAGCUGUGUUUGAACAGGUCAUUUACCAUGCUGUCCUCCAGGUUCAACAGUAUGGCUCCAAAGGAUGAAAUUUCAUUCUGAUUUUCUGGCUGAAGACUAUUCUCUUUGUGUAUGUCCACCACAGUUACUUUAUCCCUUCAUCUGUGGAUGGGCAGUCUCGCUGUAUUGCCCAGGCUGGAGUGCAGUGGCAUGAUCUCAGCUCACUGCAAGCUCUGCUUCCUGGGUUCACGCCAUUCUCCUGCCUCAGCCUCCUGAGUAGCUGGGAUUACAGGCACCCGCCACCACGCCCAGGAAAGAAAAAAGAAGAAAACAAACCUCCAUACGAGAAUGGGUCUAAAGGAACUUCCCAAACCUCCAUGAUUUUGCAGGAAACAAGAUAAAGGUGGUUUCCACAAGAAAAAUGGCACAAUGUUUCUCAGAAGACAAUUACAUAAGAAUCAGCAUACUUCAAAUUCACAGCAAAUAAUCAGACAAUUGAUGAAAAUACUUACCCAAACACUAAUUGUAGACUAUGCCUUCUGAAUAUGUUUGUCAUAAACUUGGAGUAAGGAAUCCUCACAGGCACUGGACAAUUCAAAAAACGUAAAGUUGUUUGUUAGAAUACUGGUGCUUUUGGGUAGAAACCCUCAUCCAUAUCCUGGUAAGGCUUGAAGUUGCACAGGAGUUUUCAUUUGUCAAAACCCAGAAAACCAUAAGCUUUAGAUUUGUGAAUUUUAUAUUGUAUUAUAUGUGACCUUUCUUUUUAAAAAAUGAGCUGUAAGCAGUCUCCCAGACAGUAGCUCAGCCUCCAGAACUCUCUUUCUGCAUAGUUGAAGACCCCUCUUCACACAAGAUGGUAGCAACAAAUCAUAGGUGCAAUUGCACCAAAU
rnacentral:lncRNA from 10 species